rnacentral:rRNA from 1 species
CCUACGGGAGGCAGCAGUGAGGAAUAUUGGUCAAUGGUCGGGAGACUGAACCAGCCAAGCCGCGUGAGGGAGGAAGGUACAGAGUAUCGUAAACCUCUUUUGUCAGGGAACAAAGGCGGGGACGUGUCCCCGGAUGAGUGUACCUGAAGAAAAAGCACCGGCUAACUCCGUGCCAGCAGCCGCGGUAAUACGGGGGAUGCGAGCGUUAUCCGGAUUUAUGGGGUUAAAGGGGUGCGUAGGCGUGACCUUAAGUCAGCGGUAAAAUUGCGGUGCUCAACGCCGUAGAGCCGUUGAAACUGGGGUUCUUGAGUGAGCGAGAAGUAUGCGGAAUGCGUGGUGUAGCGGUGAAAUGCAUAGAUAUCACGCAGAACCCCGAUUGCGAAGGCAGCAUACCGGCGCUCAACUGACGCUGAGGCACGAAAGUGCGGGUAUCGAACAGGAUUAGAUACCCGGGUAGUC